AUGCCGAAAAUAAUGUUAUGUGAGCAGAGAGUGCAGGCUUGUGCUCUUCUGUUGAAGAGCUUGAGCAUGAGAUUGAAUCAACACAUAAGUCAUGAGAGCAUAUCUUUAGACGAGGAGAGGCGACUGGUCAAAGAAAUUAAGACCCUUGAAAAAACCAGACCGAGGGUCAGUUCCAAGGCUGCUAAGCAAGCUAAAAUGCAAGAUAUAGUGGUUGAGAGAGAUGCCAUACAGGAUCAGGUGAAAAUCAUCAUACAUGGACUAAAGGAGGGAAAAGCAGCCAGGUCUAAGAUUAAGGUCCUGGGCGAUAAGGCGAUGGGCGUGGAGAGCUGCUACGAGCUUGCGCAGGCGGCGUACUCAACCUCGUGCUGCACACGCUCAAGCACCUGGCGGCCGUCGUCAAUGGGCUCCUCGUCCAUGAUUACCUGGACAACAUGA
rnacentral:rRNA from 1 species